rnacentral:rRNA from 1 species
UACGAAGGGGGCUAGCGUUGCUCGGAAUCACUGGGCGUAAAGCGCACGUAGGCGGAUUCUUAAGUCGGUGGUGAAAUCCUGGAGCUCAACUCCAGAACUGCCUUUGAUACUGAGGAUCUUGAGUUCGGGAGAGGUGAGUGGAACUGCGAGUGUAGAGGUGAAAUUCGUAGAUAUUCGCAAGAACACCAGUGGCGAAGGCGGCUCACUGGCCCGAUACUGACGCUGAGGCACGAAAGCGUGGGGAGCAAACAGG